CGGUUGCUGCUGAGGUCCAGCAGAACCAGCGUGCGGUUCAGUUUCAGCGCGUCGCCCAGCGACUCUGCCUCUCGGCGGCCGAAACCGUUCCACGACAGGUGGAGCCGCUUCAAGGUGGCGUUUGCCUGGCGUAACGAGCAGAUCACUGUCCCGCUCUCCAGCCGUGUCCUGCUCCCGGUUCCCCGACCCAUCGCUGGCCUGCUGGCCUUUACCAGGCUCCAUCACAGCUCAAGAUCCGCAGACUCACCUGUAAAGUAAGAAGAGUCGGUGGGGGCGAGAAGCACCACGCUGCCGGACACAGUCUGACGGAACAAGCGGCGCGGACCCACAGUGAGUCAGUAGACAUCAGAGCGCUUCACAUCACCCGUCAGCUUUCGAAAAUAGCCAAGACAUCACACAGGACGGCUUGAUAUUGGUUUGUACAGUGGCCAGCUCAUUCAGCGCUUCUAACACCGCCAACUUGUUCCCCUGCUGCCGAGAAUGACGGACAACCUGAUCCAGAAGUCAGUCCAAGCAGUCGUCCAGCAGUUACGCAGUUUAUGCGUGAAUAGGAGCUUUUUGCACCCACACAUCGUUGAAUAAUCAGUGGGAACAGCGUUGGUCUGUUGGUCUGCAGUUCCAACCCAGUUGAUCCCAUCAGGUGUGUCAUUGAGCAAGACACUUGACGCUAGCUCCCCUUCAUGUGUGACUGCCCACUGCCACCCCAGUCAAUGUAAGGGUCAACAGAGAACAGUUUCCCCAAAGAGAAUAUGUCCUAAGUUGUCUUAUGUUGCAUCAUCCACCCAGGUGCAUUUGGGUUUGCUGACACUGGAUGAUCAGGUUCAGAACCCGGGCUCCUGUGAAGCGCCUCUGCAGGACGAGGAAAAUCUUGCCUCCUGCUGCUCGUCCUGCAGCUCCCCCCACCGAUGGCCACAGGUACUGCACGUACUCAGCACGGAGAGAUGUACGACAGAACGUCCAACGAUGCGUUUCUGUCCUGUGGAGCUGAAUAAAAUGUGACGCUUGUGAUGGUUAA